UUAUCGUUUAUUUGAUAGUACCUUACUACUUGGAUAACCGUGGUAAUUCUAGAGCUAAUACAUGCUAAAAACCCCAACUUCGGAAGGGGUGUAUUUAUUAGAUAAAAAACCAACGCCCUUCGGGGCUCCUUGGUGAUUCAUAAUAACUAAACGAAUCGCAUGGCCUUGCGCCGGCGAUGGUUCAUUCAAAUUUCUGCCCUAUCAACUUUCGAUGGUAGGAUAGUGGCCUACCAUGGUAUCAACGGGUAACGGGGAAUUAGGGUUCUAUUCCGGAGAGGGAGCCUGAGAAACGGCUACCACAUCCAAGGAAGGCAGCAGGCGCGCAAAUUACCCAAUCCCGACACGGGGAGGUAGUGACAAUAAAUACUGAUACAGGGCUCUUUUGGGUCUUGUAAUUGGAAUGAGUACAAUUUAAAUCCCUUAACGAGGAACAAUUGGAGGGCAAGUCUGGUGCCAGCAGCCGCGGUAAUUCCAGCUCCAAUAGCGUAUAUUAAAGUUGUUGCAGUUAAAAAGCUCGUAGUUGAACCUUGGGCCUGGCUGGCCGGUCCGCCUCACCGCGUGUACUGGUCCGGCCGGGCCUUUCCUUCUGGGGAGCCGCAUGCCCUUCACUGGGCGUGUCGGGGAACCAGGACUUUUACUUUGAAAAAAUUAGAGUGUUCAAAGCAGGCCUUUGCUCGAAUACAUUAGCAUGGAAUAAUAGAAUAGGACGUGCGGUUCUAUUUUGUUGGUUUCUAGGACCGCCGUAAUGAUUAAUAGGGAUAGUCGGGGGCAUCAGUAUUCAAUUGUCAGAGGUGAAAUUCUUGGAUUUAUUGAAGACUAACUACUGCGAAAGCAUUUGCCAAGGAUGUUUUCAUUAAUCAGUGAACGAAAGUUAGGGGAUCGAAGACGAUCAGAUACCGUCGUAGUCUUAACCAUAAACUAUGCCGACUAGGGAUCGGGCGAUGUUAUCAUUUUGACUCGCUCGGCACCUUACGAGAAAUCAAAGUCUUUGGGUUCUGGGGGGAGUAUGGUCGCAAGGCUGAAACUUAAAGAAAUUGACGGAAGGGCACCACCAGGCGUAAACCUACUCGCAGCCGCAGUUAACUCUGCGCCGAAAAGCAGCCCGAAAGGGUGAGGUGGUGACCCGGGACGCGACGUCCCGAAUUUAAAUGCUAGUCUCGGACGCCCACCAGGUGGGGACGAGGCGACACGAUCAAACUGCGGGAAACUCCUUAGAGCCUCUGACUACUAAGCCGGCGUCCGAAAGGCGCCGGUGGCCACGUUAAUUGCGUCGGGUACAGUCAUAACGUCAGAGGAUUGGACAAUCCGCAUCCAAGCCCCUAAGGCCCUCGCGGGCUACGGGGAAGGUUCAGAGACUAAAUGGUUGUGGGUCGCCUUCGGGCGGCUUAAGAUAUAGUCCGGCCGUACGUGAAAGCGUACGGGUUAAAAAUUGGUUACCAAUAAACGGGAGCCUGCGGCUUAAUUUGACUCAACACGGGGAAACUCACCAGGUCCAGACACAAUAAGGAUUGACAGAUUGAGAGCUCUUUCUUGAUUUUGUGGGUGGUGGUGCAUGGCCGUUCUUAGUUGGUGGAGUGAUUUGUCUGCUUAAUUGCGAUAACGAACGAGACCUUAACCUGCUAAAUAGCCCGGCCCGCUUUGGCGGGUCGCCGGCUUCUUAGAGGGACUAUCGGCUCAAGCCGAUGGAAGUUUGAGGCAAUAACAGGUCUGUGAUGCCCUUAGAUGUUCUGGGCCGCACGCGCGCUACACUGACAGAGCCAACGAGUUCAUUUCCUUGCCCGGAAGGGUUGGGUAAUCUUGUUAAACUCUGUCGUGCUGGGGAUAGAGCAUUGCAAUUAUUGCUCUUCAACGAGGAAUGCCUAGUAAGCGUACGUCAUCAGCGUGCGUUGAUUACGUCCCUGCCCUUUGUACACACCGCCCGUCGCUACUACCGAUUGAAUGGCUGAGUGAGGCCUUCGGACUGGCCCAGGGAGGUCGGCAACGACCACCCAGGGCCGGAAAGUUGGUCAAACUCCGUCAUUUAGAGGAAGUAAAAGUCGUAACAAGGUUUCCGUAGGUGAACCUGCGGAAGGAUCAUUAAAGAGUAAGGGUGCUCAGCGCCCGACCUCCAACCCUCUGUUGUUAAAACUACCUUGUUGCUUUGGCGGGACCGCUCGGUCCCGAGCCGCCGGGGAUUCGUCCCAGGCGAGCGCCCGCCAGAGUUAAACCAAACUCUUGUUAUUAAACCGGUCGUCUGAGUUAAAAUUUUGAAUAAAUCAAAACUUUCAGCAACGGAUCUCUUGGUUCUCGCAUCGAUGAAGAACGCAGCGAAAUGCGAUAAGUAAUGUGAAUUGCAGAAUUCAGUGAAUCAUCGAAUCUUUGAACGCACAUUGCGCCCCUUGGUAUUCCGAGGGGCAUGCCUGUUCGAGCGUCAUUACACCACUCAAGCUAUGCUUGGUAUUGGGCGUCCGUCUCCCCGGAGGCGCGCCUUAAAGACCUCGGCGAGGCCUCACCGGCUUCAGGCGUAGUAGAAUUUAUUCGAACGUCUGUCAAAGGAGAGGACUUCUGCCGACCGAAACCUCCAUUUUUCUAGGUUGACCUCGGAUCAGGUAGGGAUACCCGCUGAACUUAAGCAUAUCAAUAAGCGGAGGAAAAGAAACCAACAGGGAUUGCCCUAGUAACGGCGAGUGAAGCGGCAACAGCUCAAAUUUGAAAGCUGGCCUUCGGGUCCGCAUUGUAAUUUGUAGAGGAUGCUUUGGGGAGGCCGCCUGUCUAAGUUCCUUGGAACAGGACGUCAUAGAGGGUGAGAAUCCCGUAUGUGACAGGAAAUGGCACCCUAUGUAAAGCUCCUUCGACGAGUCGAGUUGUUUGGGAAUGCAGCUCUAAAUGGGAGGUAAAUUUCUUCUAAAGCUAAAUAUUGGCGAGAGACCGAUAGCGCACAAGUAGAGUGAUCGAAAGAUGAAAAGCACUUUGGAAAGAGAGUUAAAAAGCACGUGAAAUUGUUGAAAGGGAAGCGCUUGCAAUCAGACUUGUCCAAACCGUUCGGCCGGUCUUCUGACCGGUUUACUCGGUUUGGGCAGGCCAGCAUCAGUUUCGGCGGCCGGAUAAAGGCUCUGGGAAUGUGGCCCCCUCUUCGGUGGGGGUGUUAUAGCCCGGGGUGUAAUACGGCCAGCCGGGACUGAGGUCCGCGCUUCGGCUAGGAUGCUGGCGUAAUGGUUGUAAGCGACCCGUCUUGAAACACGGACCAAGGAGUCUAACAUCUAUGCGAGUGUUCGGGUGUCAAACCCCUGCGCGUAAUGAAAGUGAACGGAGGUGGGAACCGCAAGGUGCACCAUCGACCGAUCCUGAUGUCUUCGGAUGGAUUUGAGUAAGAGCAUAGCUGUUGGGACCCGAAAGAUGGUGAACUAUGCCUGAAUAGGGUGAAGCCAGAGGAAACUCUGGUGGAGGCUCGCAGCGGUUCUGACGUGCAAAUCGAUCGUCAAAUUU
rnacentral:rRNA from 1 species